AUUGAACGCUGGCGGCAGGCCUAACACAUGCAAGUCGAGCGGAUGCAGGGUGCUUGCUCGUGGUUUCAGGUGGGGAGGGGCGAGCAGUGGCUAGGAACCUGCCUGUCAGUUGUGGCUAACGUCCGGAAGUGGGGGCUAAUACGGUAAUAGUCCUGAGGACGAAAGGGGGGGAGCUUCGGACCUUACGCUAUUAGAUGAGCCGAGGUCGGAUUAGCUAGUUGGUGGGGUAAAGGCCCACCAAGGCGACGAUCCGUAGCUGGUCUGAGAGGAUGAUCAGCCACACUGGAACUGAGACACGGUCCAGACUCCUACGGGAGGCAGCAGUGGGGAAUAUUGGACAAUGGGCGCAAGCCUGAUCCAGCCAUGCCGCGUGUGUGAAGAAGGUCUUCGGAUUGUAAAGCACUUUUAGUUGGAAAGAAAGGCAGUAAGUUAAUACCUCGCUGUUUUGACGUUACCAACAGAAUAAGCACCGGCUAACUUCGUG
rnacentral:rRNA from 1 species